rnacentral:lncRNA from 1 species
UUGAGUAGAUUUUUGUUUCAUCUUUUUCUAUGAUGUCCGAUUAUCUCUACCUGCAUGUAAUUCUACUUUUGAAUGAAUGAAGUGGUAGUAUAUUAUUUUUUAAAAAAUUAUCAAAUUAAAUAAGCUUGUUAUGGGUCCAUUCAUCAUUUUCAUGUCUAUUAUUGUUUUGCUCUCUCUCUCUCUCUCUCUCUCUCUCUCUAAAUUAAUCAAGCACACACUACAACAGAAUUAGGUUAUAGGGACACAUGUUUGGGACACUUUUGAGUAAGUGUCCCAUUUAUCCUAAAACUUUAAAAAACAUCUACUAAUGUCUAAACAUAAAGCCCAAUCCAACCAAAAAUAAAAGAUUACUCUACUCAACCCACCACAUCCAGUCCAUUUGGCACGAUUACAAACAGAAAAGAAAAAAAAAAAUCUACAAACAGAAAAGAAAAAAAAAGAAAAAUCAAUUAUCAUCUCUUCUUCUCUUUUUACUCAAUCCACUGAAAUUCUAGACGAAUAGCCUUUCCUGUCGUCCUCCUCCGCCACCGCAGCCAACGAGAUAGAGUUUUGGCGGUUGCUAAUUAAAUACUUAAAUAAGUGUUGGUAAAUUAGCAGCACUCUUUUAGGUUAUAGCGACACUCUUUAACUGUCACUAUAUACCUAGCGACCCCACAUAUAGCAACACUUUUUAAAAGUGUCGGUAAUUUUAGUUAGCAGCACUUUUUUGACAUGUACCUACAUUUAAAAGUGUCGCUAUAGACCGUUUUUGUUGUAGUGACAAAUGUAAACUCUCAUUUAUCAAAUCCAUCACUUUAAAAAAUGGCAACAAAUAAAAGAUAAUAUAAUUUU